CGAGUCACCUUCCCCUGUUCAUAUCUCCUUCUGCUGUCUGGGCAGCUGGCUUAGAGGCUUAGUGGGAAGGGACUGGAAGUGAACGAACAGUACUUUCAGGCUGCUCUUGGUCUCAGUAAGGUCUCAUUCCAAAAUGCUGCUGGCAAUUCAUUUUCAGGGUUUGGCCAGCCUGAAGUAACCCAUCUAUUUCGAGGUUUCAAGACCAGGCAGCAGAGGAGGCUAAAUAAGUUUCAGCACCUUGUCUGGAGCCCAAAGAUGAUUCGAGGAAAACUAGAAACCCAGCUGCUGCUCCACUCCAGUCUGAACUUAGAGGCUCAAGGAAAGAACAAAGUCCAUCAGAAGAUUCACCUCUUACAGGAUAUCAAAAAGAGAUAAAAUAGAGGACUGUCCUUUUGGUGCCUAAUGAGACGAGAACAACAGGUAAACA